ensembl:miRNA MIR363 microRNA mir-363
UGUUGUCGGGUGGAUCACGAUGCAAUUUUGAUUAGUAUAAUAGGAGAAAAAUUGCACGGUAUCCAUCUG